rnacentral:ncRNA from 1 species
CGGUUCGCCCGGUCUAGCACCGGCGACGGAUCAUUCAAGUGUCUGCCCUAUCAACUUUCGUCGGUACGGUAUUUGCCUACCGAGGUUCUUACGGGUGACGGGGAAUCAGGGUUCGAUUCCGGAGAGGGAGCCUGAGAAACGGCUACCACAUCCAAGGAAGGCAGCAGGCGCGCAAAUUACCCAUUCCCGACGCGGGGAGGUAGUGACGAAAAAUAACAAUGCAGGACUCGUUCGAGGCCCUGUAAUUGGAAUGAGUACACUUUAAAAGCUUUAACGAGUAUCCAUUGGAGGGCAAGUCUGGUGCCAGCAGCCGCGGUAAUUCCAGCUCCAAAAGUAUAUAUUUAAGUUGUUGCGGUUAAAAAGCUCGUAGUUGGAUUUUGGGCGCAGGCGGCCGGUCCGUCGCAAGGCGUGUACUGGACGUCCUGGCCUUCCCUCCGGUUCUCCGCCGGUGCUCUUGACUGAGUGUCGGCGGCGGCCGGAACGUUUACUUUGAAAAAAUUAGAGUGUUCAAAGCAGGCUCUCGAGCCUGGAUAAUGGUGCAUGGAAUAAUGGAAUAGGACCUCGGUUCUAUUUUGUUGGUUUUCGGAGCGCGAGGUAAUGAUUAAGAGGGACAGACGGGGGCAUUCGUACUGUGCCGUUAGAGGUGAAAUUCUUGGAUCGGCGCAAGACGAACGACUGCGAAAGCAUUUGCCAAUAAUGUUUUCUUUAAUCAAGAGCGAAAGUCAGAGGUUCGAAGACGAUCAGAUACCGUCCUAGUUCUGACUAUAAACGAUGCCAACUAGCGAUCGGGGGGCGUUACAUUGACGACCCCUCCGGCAGCUUACGGGAAACCAAAGUCUUUGGGUUCCGGGGGAAGUAUGGUUGCAAAGCUGAAACUUAAAGGAAUUGACGGAAGGGCACCACCAGGAGUGGAGCCUGCGGCUUAAUUUGACUCAACACGGGAAAUCUCACCCGGCCCGGACACAGUGAGGAUUGACAGAUUGAGAGCUCUUUCUUGAUUCUGUGGGUG